rnacentral:rRNA from 1 species
GACGAACGCUGGCGGCGUGCCUAAUACAUGCAAGUCGAGCGAAGUUUUUCUGGUGCUUGCACUAGAAAAACUUAGCGGCGAACGGGUGAGUAACACGUAAAGAACCUGCCUCAUAGACUGGGACAACUAUUGGAAACGAUAGCUAAUACCGGAUAACAGUAUUUCUCGCAUGAGAGAUAUUUAAAAGUUGGUUAUGCUAACACUAUGAGAUGGCUUUGCGGUGCAUUAGCUAGUUGGUGGGGGAAAGGCCCACCAAGGCGACGAUGCAUAGCCGACCUGAGAGGGUGAUCGGCCACACUGGGACUGAGACACGGCCCAGACUCCUACGGGAGGCAGCAGUAGGGAAUCUUCCGCAAUGGGCGAAAGCCUGACGGAGCAACGCCGCGUGAGUGAAGAAGGAUUUCGGUUCGUAAAGCUCUGUUGUUAGGGAAGAAUGGAUAUGUAGUAACUAUACAUGUAAGAGACGGUACCUAACCAGAAAGCCACGGCUAACUACGUG